rnacentral:piRNA from 1 species
UUCCUUCGGCUUCUGGUCAACGACGAGC